UGUUCGCGCGAACCGCCGCCCCCGCUCCCGCCUCGCGUCCCCUCAGCGCCGGCAGCGCGAGCCCCAACUUUACCGCCACCCAGGAUAAUGAGCUUUCAAAUGGAGCGCUGCCAGCUCGGCCUCAUCUUCAAAGCAGCGACGUGCCAUCCAUCAGAAUGCUGAGUUGGAAUGCAGCAUGACCUUGUUUAGCAGCAGAGCAGGAGCUGUGAUGUCAGUGGAGAGCAGCAGUGUGAAACGUUGGUCCUGUAUGCACACGAAUAUGGCAUAUACGUUAUGCAGGGCGCUAUUGCAAAGUGAACCUUGUGUCUCGGCAGGAUUUGAGCUGGUAAUAGGAAUCUAAAUGAUAGUGUUCUUUUCAAAUAACCAAAUUGUCAUAUAGUGA